UUAAUUCCAAUAAAAUUUAAUUGUUGCGGAUUCUGAGGCAUCUGUGUAAGGCGGCAAAUUUAAACGUAUCUAUAAAUACAAAACUAAAACCGUCAUGUAAAAAGUGAAAGAGUUAAAAUUGCGUCUAGUGAGAGAUAAACACUAUUCCAGAAUACAUUUGUUGCUACGAAAGCGCCGGUUGCAUACAAAAAUAUCCGAGCGUCCGUGGCCCUGGAAUAUUGGGAGUAUUUUCAGAAAAACACGUGGUGGCUUCCCCUCCCGCAGCCAGACUUUGCAAUAGCGCCCAGUUUACAAUUAAUAACAAUUCAUCAUUAAACUUUAUCGGAAAAAUUGCACUAGCGGCCCUAUUUUCGGCUCAUUAUUCUGCCAUCUAGACGCGCCUAGUCGAAGCAAAUUCCUGAAAACCGGCCUGAUGCCAUAAAUAAAGCUGGGUUUGGGCCAAUUGAGUGAAGUUGGAAUGAUAGACCCAAAAUGCCGCCGGUAGGUAGAAUUAAUCCCCCGUUUUAAAAAACAUGCACCCUUACCUGUAUUCCUUCCACGACAGUAUGGAGUACCAAAGGGUGAACAUUUUCGCGCAGUUCGCUUGGUGUGUUUGGUGUAAAAAAUUAGCACGUGAAGCAGUCACGGCCUGGUUGGAUACGUCGCCUUAACUGACUUAUUUUUCGUUGCUGUGCUGCUCCAAAUUUGACUUUAUUCUGAAAUAAUCGAAAUGAAAAAUAUUUUUUCAGCAGCGGUUCGAUCGAUGCUUCAAUCAAGCGUGAAAUUUAUUGUAUUGGGCGAAUUAAACGAUGUUAUGUAAUGUUACAUAUCAUUCGUACAAAGAAAAUAAACAAAUUUAAGAA